GAGUUUGAUCCUGGUUCAGAUUGAACGCUAGCGGGAUGCCUUACACAUGCAAGUCGAACGGCAGCACGGACUUCGGUCUGGUGGCGAGUGGCGAACGGGUGAGUAAUGUAUCGGAACGUGCCCAGUAGCGGGGGGUAACUACGCGAAAGCGUAGCUAAUACCGCAUACGCUCUACGGGGGAAAGCAGGGGAUCGUAAGACCUUGCACUAUUGGAGCGGCCGAUAUCGGAUUAGCUAGUUGGUGGGGUAACGGCUCACCAAGGCGACGAUCCGUAGCUGGUUUGAGAGGACGACCAGCCACACUGGGACUGAGACACGGCCCAGACUCCUACGGGAGGCAGCAGUGGGGAAUUUUGGACAAUGGGGGAAACCCUGAUCCAGCCAUCCCGCGUGUGCGAUGAAGGCCUUCGGGUUGUAAAGCACUUUUGGCAGGAAAGAAACGUCAUGGGUUAAUACCCCGUGAAACUGACGGUACCUGCAGAAUAAGCACCGGCUAACUACGUGCCAGCAGCCGCGGUAAUACGUAGGGUGCAAGCGUUAAUCGGAAUUACUGGGCGUAAAGCGUGCGCAGGCGGUUCGGAAAGAAAGAUGUGAAAUCCCAGAGCUUAACUUUGGAACUGCAUUUUUAACUACCGGGCUA
rnacentral:rRNA from 1 species